rnacentral:rRNA from 1 species
GAACCGUGCGAACGUUAUUCGGAAUUACUGGGCUUAAAGGGUGCGUAGGCGGCAUGGGUAAGUUGGGGUGUGAAAUCCCUCGGGCUCAACCGAGGAAUUGCGCCCAAAACUGCCUUGCUUGAGGGAGACAGAGGUGAGCGGAACUACGGGUGGAGCGGUGAAAUGCGUUGAUAUCCGUAGGAACACCGGUGGCGAAAGCGGCUCACUGGGUCUCUUCUGACGCUGAGGCACGAAAGCUAGGGUAGCGAACGGGAUUAGAUACCCCGGUAGUCCUAGCUGUAAACGAUGAGCACUGGGUCGGAGAUCCUUCCACAGGUUUCCGGCCGAAGCGAAAGUGUUAAGUGCUCCGCCUGGGGAGUAUGGUCGCAAAGGCUG